CUUGGUUGCCAGUAGUCAGUGAUGAGACACUAAUAUCUGCUGGUGGCGAGCCCAAUAGCGUGCAAUGCUGGGAAGCGGGGCGAUCCCUGCCGUUAAAACGCCUAAACGGACACUGUGUGUUUCUUU